rnacentral:rRNA from 1 species
AUUGCCCUAGUAACGGCGAGUGAAGCGGCAACAGCUCAAAUUUGAAAUCUGGCUCUUUUAGGGUCCGAGUUGUAAUUUGCAGAGGGCGCUUUGGCGUUGGCAGCGGUCCAAGUUCUUUGGAACAGGACGUCACAGAGGGUGAGAAUCCCGUACGUGGUCGCUAUCCUUCGCCGUGUAAAGCCCCUUCGACGAGUCGAGUUGUUUGGGAAUGCAGCUCUAAAUGGGAGGUAAAUUUCUUCUAAAGCUAAAUACUGGCCAGAGACCGAUAGCGCACAAGUAGAGUGAUCGAAAGAUGAAAAGCACUUUGGAAAGAGAGUCAAAUAGCACGUGAAAUUGUUGAAAGGGAAGCGCUUGCAGCCAGACUUGCCUGUAGUUGCUUAUCCGGACUUUUGUCCGGUGCACUCUUCUGCGGGCAGGCCAGCAUCAGUUUGGGCAGUUGGAUAAAGGUCUCUGUCAUGUACCUCUCUUCGGGGAGGCCUUAUAGGGGAGACGACAUGCAACUAGCCUGGACUGAGGUCCGCGCAUCUGCUAGGAUGCUGGCGUAAUGGCUGUAAGCGGCCCGUCUUGAAACACGGACCAAGGAGUCUAACAUCUAUGCGAGUGUUUGGGUGUCAAGCCCAGACGCGUAAUGAAAGUGAACGGAGGUGGGAACCCUUUGGGUGCACCAUCGACCGAUCCUGAUGUUUUCGGAAGGAUUUGAGUAAGAGCAUGGCUGNUGGGACCCGAAAGAUGGUGAACUAUGCUUGAAUAGGGUGAAGCCAGAGGAAACUCUGGUGGAGGCUCGCAGCGGUUCUGACGUGCAAAUCGAUCGUCAAAUUUGGGCAUAGGGGCGAAAGACUAAUCGAACUAUCUAGUAGCUGGUUCCUGCCGAAGUUUCCCUCAGGAUAGCAGUAACGUAUUCAGUUUUAUGAGGUAAAGCGAAUGAUUAGAGGCCUGGGGGUUGAAACAACCUUCACCUAUUCUCAAACUUUAAAUAUGUAAGAAGUCCUUGUUACUUGAUUGAACGUGGACAUUUGAAUGUACCGUUACUAGUGGGCCAUUUUUGGUAAGCAGAACUGGCGAUGCGGGAUGAACCGAACGCGGGGUUAAGGUGCCAGAAUAUACGCUCAUCAGACACCACAAAAGGUGUUAGUUCAUCUAGACAGCAGGACGGUGGCCAUGGAAGUCGGAAUCCGCUAAGGAGUGUGUAACAACUCACCUGCCGAAUGAACUAGCCCUGAAAAUGGAUGGCGCUCAAGCGUAUUACCCAUACCCCGCCGCCGGGGCAGAAUUUACGCCCCGGCGAGUAGGCAGGCGUGGAGGCUCGUGACGAAGCCU